UCUUCCCAGAUCUUUGACAUUUGAAUAAAAAUGCCUUUCCUUUCUCACCAGCCUCUGCCUCCAGAGUUUGCCUUUUGAUGGCAGCAGGCACCCAAACCAUACUUUGUUUUGGUAAUAAAUUGACAAAUUGU